CCUACGGGAGGCAGCAGUGGGGAAUAUUGGACAAUGGGGGCAACCCUGAUCCAGCCAUGCCGCGUGUGUGAAGAAGGCCCUCGGGUUGUAAAGCACUUUCAGUGAGGAAGAACGCCUGGUGGUUAAUACCCAUCAGGAAAGACAUCACUCACAGAAGAAGCACCGGCUAACUCCGUGCCAGCAGCCGCGGUAAUACGGAGGGUGCGAGCGUUAAUCGGAAUUACUGGGCGUAAAGCGCGCGUAGGUGGCUUGAUAAGCCGGUUGUGAAAGCCCCGGGCUCAACCUGGGAACGGCAUCCGGAACUGUGAAGCUAGAGUGCAGGAGAGGAAGGUAGAAUUCCCGGUGUAGCGGUGAAAUGCGUAGAGAUCGGGAGGAAUACCAGUGGCGAAGGCGGCCUUCUGGACUGAAACUGACACUGAGGUGCGAAAGCGUGGGUAGCAAACAGGAUUAGAUACCCGGGUAGUC
rnacentral:rRNA from 1 species